UAUCCUCGUGUUUCCACAGGUCAGAGGAUCCAGAGGGUUUUAUGAGGGGCUAUCCUGGUGUUUCCACAGGUCGGAGUGUUUUAUUAGGGGCUAUCCUCGUGUUUCCACAGGUCAGAGGGUUUUAUGAGGGGCUAUCCUGGUGUUUCCGCAGGUCAGAGGGUUUUAUGGGGGGCUAUCCUGGUGUUUCCACAGGUCAGAGAGUCCAGAGGGUUUUAUGAAGGGCUAUCCUCGUGUUUCCACAGGUCAGAGGGUUUUAUGAGGGGCUGUCCUCGUGUUUCCACAGGUCAGAGAGUCCAGAGGGUUUUAUGAAGGGCUAUCCUCGUGUUUCCACAGGUCAGAGGGUUUUAUGAGGGGCUAUCCUCGUGUUUCCACAGGUCAGAGGGUUUUAUGAGGGGCUAUCCUCGUGUUUCCACAGGUCAGAGGGUUUUAUGAGUGGCUAUCCUCGUGUUUCCACAGGUCAGAGGGUUUUAUGAGGGGCUAUCCUCGUGUUUCCACAGGUCAGAGGGUUUUAUGAGGGGCUAUCCUUGUGUUUCCACAGGUCAGAUGGUUUUAUGAGGGGCUAUCCUCGUGUUUCCACAGGUCAGAGAGUCCAGAGGGUUUUAUGUGGGGCUAUCCCUGUGUUUCCACAGGUCAGAGGGUUUUAUGAGGGGCUGUCCUCGUGUUUCCACAGGUCAGAGA